rnacentral:rRNA from 1 species
CCCUUAGAUGUCCUGGGCCGCACGCGUGCUACACUGACGCCUACAGCGAGUACUUCCCAGCCCCGAGAGGCGGCUGGUAAUCAGCAAUAGGCGUCGUGAUGGGGAUAGAUCUUUGGAAUUAUGGAUCUUGAACGAGGAAUGCCUAGUAAGCGCAGGUCAUUAGCCUGCGCUGAUUACGUCCCUGCCCUUUGUACACACCGCCCGUCGCUACUACCGAUUUCGAGUGGUCCGGUGAAGCGUUCGGACCGUGGCCUUUGGACGGUUCGCCGUCUGUUGGCUGCGGGAAGUUCGUUAAACCUUAUCAUUUAGAGGAAGGAGAAGUCGUAACA